UUCGCCCUUGAGUUUGAUCCUGGCUCAGGAGAACGCUGGCGGCGGGCCUAAUACAUGCAAGUCGAACGCACUCGACCUUCGGGUCACAUGAGUGAGUGGCGAACGGGUGAGUAACACGUGAGGAACCUGCCCUGAAGACCGGAAUAACCCGAGGAAACUCGAGCUAAUACCGGAUAUCCCCAUCUGGUCGCAUGGCCUAAUGAGGAAAUGUUCAGGCGCUUCAGGAGGGUCUCACGGCCUAUCAGCUAGUUGGUGAGGUAACGGCUCACCAAGGCAUCGACGGGUAGCUGGUCUGAGAGGACGAUCAGCCACACUGGGACUGAGACACGGCCCAGACUCCUACGGGAGGCAGCAGUAGGGAAUCUUGCGCAAUGGGCGAAAGCCUGACGCAGCCACGCCGCGUGAGGGAUGAAGGCUCUCGGGUUGUAAACCUCUUUCAGCAGGGACGAAAAUGACGGUACCUGCAGAAGAAGCUCCGGCCAACUACGUGCCAGCAGCCGCGGUAACACGUAGGGAGCGAGCGUUGUCCGGAAUUAUUGGGCGUAAAGAGCUCGUAGGCGGUUCAGUAAGUCAGGUGUGAAAACUCGAGGCUCAACCUCGAGAGGCCACCUGAUACUGCUGUGACUGGAGUCCGGUAGAGGAGUGUGGAAUUCCUGGUGUAGCGGUGAAAUGCGCAGAUAUCAGGAGG
rnacentral:rRNA from 1 species